UGGCGACUGGCGAACGGGUGCGUAACGCGUAUGCAACCUACCCUUAACUGGAGAAUAGCCCGAGGAAACUCGGAUUAAUACUCCAUAGUAUUACAAAUUCGCAUGUUUUUGUAAUUAAAGCUUUGGCGGUUAAGGAUGGGCAUGCGUGACAUUAGUUUGUUGGUGAGGUAACGGCUCACCAAGACUACGAUGUCUAGGGGUUCUGAGAGGAUGACCCCCCACACUGGUACUGAGACACGGACCAG
rnacentral:rRNA from 1 species